rnacentral:tmRNA from 1 species
GGGGAUGAAAGGAUUUCGACGGGGGUUUUGAGACGGGAUAAGCGAGCAGCGGUGCGGGACCGCUAUAAAAUCCGCAGUUUAUUUCAAAAUAAACGACAACAAUACUGUUCUUAAAGCUGCUUAAGUUUUAAGCGGCCGUCCCUACCGGGAGUACCGCGGCUCGGAUAGGGGCGUCAUUCAGCGGUGAACGUGCACGAAGGUCUGCCUCGCCCUUUGUCAUGCAUCAGAGGCUGCCGCGCGAGGAAGUGUGUGUAUGCACGUCCCCGCAAGGGAGAUCAAAUCAUACACUACGCUCGUAGAAAGUGCCGAGGAGGAGCUUUCGGACGCGGUUUCGAUUACCGCCAUCUCCACCA